rnacentral:rRNA from 1 species
UACAGAGGUCUCCAGCGUUGUUCGGAUUCAUUGGGCGUAACGGGCGCGUAGGCUGCGGGGCAAGUCGGGUGUGAAAUCUCAGAGCUCAACUCUGAAACUGCACUCGAUACUGCUUUGCUCGAGGACUGGAGAGGAGAUUGGAAUUCACGGUGUAGCAGUGAAAUGCGUAGAUAUCGUGAGGAAGACCAGUGGCGAAGGCGGAUCUCUGGACAGUUCCUGACGCUGAGGCGCGAAGGCCAGGGGAGCAAACGGG